ACUAAACAUUAGACGUCUUAUGGACGUGCAGAUCAUGUCUAUAUUGCGUCGGUCGGUCCAAGACCAAUUCUGUACGUCUACACGACGUGCAAACUAGGUCCGCUAUUUGGACGUCUAACUAUGACCCCACUUGGACGUCAAUAUGCAGUUAAACAUUUGAACGUCGGACUAGGUCACUUUUUUGGACGUCAUGGGGACGUCUAAUACAGGUGCAGGAAAUUAACAUUAUUUAAGAAUAUAUUUAUUUUUAAAUGUAUGUCAAAAUUGUUGUUAUCAAUAUUGUUAAUCACUAUGAAUAUAGAUUAUUUAUGAUUAAGCAUCAUUUAUUUCUAAUUAUUUAUUUGAGUAUUAUAUUUUUUAUCUAUUUAAUUAAUUAACGAAUGUAGGUAUUUAUUUACGUAUGUUUUUAUUUUUAUUUGGAAAUGCAAUUUAUGUGGAAAAUUGUUAAGUUGAUUUCAACCAGUCAACGCCACUCUGAUUUGCUGAGACCGCACGUCAUCAUAAACUCCACUCUGAUAUGCCGAGGCAAAACACGCUAAACAUUUUUUGGCUGCUGCAGUAGCUCAGCUCAGCUCAGCUCAGCUCAUUCAGUUCAGCUCGCUCAGCUCAGCUCCGCUCCGGACCGGACUCAGCUGCCAAGCUAUAAGAUGGAGUCAUGAAAUGUGACGGGACAGCCACCGAGGACUUCAUACUUCGGAGCAUCUCAAACAUGCACCACAAAGACGUGGAGGACACACCGCUGUCUCUCAGGACCUAGAAUCUUAAUGAAAGUAUAAUGAUGUUAAGGGAAGGUGUAAUGGAAAGGUGUAAUGUAAAGUUGUAAUGGUGUUAAGGGAAGGUGUAGUGGAAAGGUGUGAUAGUGUUGAGGGAAGGUGUAAUAGUGUUGAGGGAAGGGGUAAUGUUAAAGGUGUAAUAGUGUUGAGGGAAGGUGUAAUGUUAAAGGUGUAAUAGUGUUAAGGGAAGGUAUAAUAUUGUUAAGGGAAGGUGUAAUGCAGGGGUCUCAAACUCAUUUUUGCCGAGGGCCACAUUGACAUAUUGGCUGUCCUCUGAGGGCCAGAUGUAACUUACAAAUAUAAGAAAAUGUAACCAGAUGUAAUAUAAAAUGAAUGUAAUUACUCCUUAAUGUUAAAUAACUCUCAAUAUACUAUUUAUUCAAUCAAAUAUUACAGUUGCAUGGAAAAAUGUUUGCUUGUUGCUCUAUUAACAUAAAUCCUUUUAAUUUGUCAUGUUAUGAAAUCCAAAAACUCCAUCAAUCAAGAACCAAACUAUUCAAGUGAAUAGAAAUUACAUCAAGUACAAGUUAUAUUAACUUUGAUCAAAACGUUUGAUACUGAAAUAAGGCUUAAUAAAUAUAAAAUCAAAAAUUGUGAGCUGUUAAGAACAUAGCAUUUCCUCAGAUUUAGCAGUUCCUCAUCCAACCACUAGUCGGAGCUGCAGCUGCAGCACCACAAGCCCGCAGUCUUUGCUUAGUCAGAGCUACAGCCCAGCCACGGGCUACAGGACUCAGCUGAGCCUGUCUGGAGCGUUUUGAAUUUUUUUAAGUUCUUCUGUGUAUGAAAUAAAAUAACCCCACUAACCGGAUAAUACAGCUCUCUACAGUUCAUCUUUCAGCCCAAGCAGCUAACAGCAGCAGUUUAGAGCAGCGUCACGGAGUCACUGCUCGGAUUACAUUAUAAACAGGUCAGUUAGCGCGCUGCUAACCUCAGGAUGUUUAUAACUACGGAGUUUAGUGGACACACCACGGCAGCAAGGUUAGACUGUUGAAGGCUACUGAAGACUACUAAAGCAGGCAACGCAGCGUAAGCAAAAAAAAAAAAAAAAAAAAACACACACACACACCAAAAUACAAGUUAAGAUAAAAUAUGAAAACGAACAUUAUAAAGCAUAAAUAAUUAAAUUGAAUUGCGGGCCAGAUGUAUGUUUAUUUUGUUAACCCGUGAGGGGCCGUAUGAAACCGCGUGGGCCGGUACUUUGAGACCCCUGGUGUAAUGUAAAGGUGUAAUAGUUUUGAGGGAAGGUGUAAUAGUGUUGAGGGAAGGUGUAAUGUUAAAGGUGUAAUAGUGUUAAGGGAAGGUAUAAUAUUGUUAAGGGAAGGUGUAAUGUAAAGCUGUAAUAGUUUUAAGGGAAGGUAAAUGUUUAGUGAAAUUGUUAUGGUGUGAAUCUAAGGUGUAUGUUAUGUUGAUGUAAAAUAAAGGCAUUAACCCCAAAUGAGAUUUACUCAUUAUGUUUAUUAUUAUAUUAAUGUUUCCCCAAACAGAAAGGGUCAAUUUAAAAUCAACAGUGGUAAGAUGGGGGUAAUUAAUUUAUCCCUUGCUUUUACUGGUUCUUUGCAGGUUGACAUGUUUUGAAAAAAGUGAGAGGGUUGAAAUGCAAUUUAUUUGUAAAGCAUAUUGUGUAUAACUAACGUGCAUAACUAGUUCCAGAAGGUUGUGAACCUGUUCCAGUAAUUGUUUGGCUUAGCUUUGUAUACGUUUCCAGUUAACUGCUGAAGCUGGAACAAUGGAACAGUUGCCACCGUCUGAAAUGGCACUACAGUUAUGCAGGGAGCCUCAAAGUAGUUGGUCUAUAAAACGUAUACAUGUAAAUUUCACGUAGAAAAGACGUCCACAACGACUUAAUUUAAACUAGAAUUAGCCCUUAUCCGGAGGUCUGGGGGACGUCAAUACUGGACGUGCAGAAGACGUCAGAAAAAAGACGUCGUCUGGCGUCACAGUCUGCACCUUCAGGAGACCAAAAUUGGACGUGCAAAAAUGACCUAGAAAAGACGUCGUUUCAACGUCUCUUUGUUUAGUG